rnacentral:rRNA from 1 species
GUGCCAGCAGCCGCGGUAAUACGUAGGUGACGCAUAGCGUUAUCCGGAAUUAUUGGGCGUAAAGAGCUCGUAGGCGGUUUGUCGCGUCUGCUGUGAAAUCCCGAGGCUCAACCUCGGGCCUGCAGUGGGUACGGGCAGACUAGAGUGCGGUAGGGGAGAUUGGAAUUCCUGGUGUAGCGGUGGAAUGCGCAGAUAUCAGGAGGAACACCGAUGGCGAAGGCAGAUCUCUGGGCCGUAACUGACGCUGAGGAGCGAAAGGGUGGGGAGCAAACAGGCUUAGAUACCCUGGUAGUCC